CCUUGGCCUCCCAAAGCGCUGAGAUUACAGGUGUGAACCACUGCACCUGGUCUCAAAUCAGAAAAUCUUUGAAUUCAUCUAAUGGUCACCUAUCCUGUGGGCCCUCACUUUGAGAUAUUUUGCCUUUUUUGGCCAAACCAAUAUGUAGCCUCCAUGUAUUAUAUGACCUUGCCUGCAACCUCUGCCUUCCCACCUUUAAAAACCCUUACACAUAAGCCAUCAGGGAGAUUAGGCCUUAAGGAUUAGCUGCCUGAUACUCCUUGCUUGCUGCCUGCAAUAAAUUCCUCAACUUCUGUCUCAGCAAUGCCGAUAUCAGUGCUUGACUUUGAUAGGCUGGGUGGGUGGACCCAAAUUUGGUUUGGUGACCCUUUGAGCUUAGAUUCAAAAUUCUAGUUUUGUCACUCUGCAGUUUUGUGAUCUUGAGCAAGUUACUUAACCUCUCUGAGCCUUGUUUGUCAUGUGUAAUGAAAAGAGCUAUACUUACCUUGUGAGGUAGUCCUCAGGAUUCAAUGAGAUAAUAAGUACUCACUAAACAAAACUCGUUAUUACAAAAGAAUCACUUUGUCUCUGAAGUGGGCAAUUCAACCCAUUUCUAGGAGAUUUUAAACAUGAUUUUAGAUAUUUGGUGUGAUUUUGUGAAUGGGUUUAUCGUUAAUAGCUUUCAUGCUCCAGAAUUUUCUUGAAUAAUAGGUUUUUGCAAAGUGCAUUCCAUGGAAUACUCAUUUGGGUGACGUUAAUAGACAUCACUCAAAAGCUGGGUGAAUAUUACAAUGUUUACUUCAUCUGUAACAAGCUGAGUAGCUACAGUACAUAUCUAAGAGGGGGCUCUAAUUCUCAAUAUUUUCCAAAUUUAUUAGAUCACAGACUUUUCUUUUAGUGAAGUGCUUAAUGAAACUUAAGUUCUGUGAAAAGUACUUUGAGAAAUAUUGCUUUAAAAAGAAAAAGAUUGAGCCCUGUAUCAGGGGAAAUAUCUAAUAUUAUAUUAAACAAAAAAGUCCCACUGAAGAAAAUCAUCUUAUUGUUCAUAGACCUUAGUUUAGGUAUUGGGGCCAAAGGAUGGAUGACCAUUUCAAACGAUCCAGGCUAAGCCAGGAGGAGAGCUCAAAGUCUGAUCUGCUCUGCUGCCCCCUGCCCCAUACACGUGAUGGAGCAGAAAACGUGCUGUGUGAACCUGUGACUUCAGGGCCUGUUGACGUGGUCGUGCUUGCAUACUCUCUGGACUGGACCUCACUGUGGGAACAACAAGAUCAACAAGAGGAGCAAGAACAACAUCAAGAGUCAGGGCCCGGGGGUCCUGACGGGUACAGGACGGGUACAGACCCACACAGGAAUCCCAGAGUGUGUUCCACAGCAGGACACGCCUGCGCUGAAAGAGUGGGCAGAAAGGAGCUGACCUGGGAUUAUGAUCCAAACUCAGCUGGGCCUCCCCUCCCUGCCCCAGGAUUGUGGAGUGAGAACGUUGCAGCAGGAGAGAACAACGCAGCAAAGCACAGCAGGGGAACCGGAAAUGCUCACCUUUUGACAGGACCAAACCAAUGCACAACUCCUACGUACUGAUGGUGGUCUUACGUUUCCCUAAGUUUCUGCCGACUAAACUGUGCACACGUUCUCAGGACCUCCUGAAGCUGCGUCACAGGCGCUGAUCAAAGAACACAACCAAGAGUUUGGCCUUUUCUUCAGCACUGGGAAUUGUGAUCCAAAGCUUUUCCUGAUGAGGCACAAAGUUGGAGAAA